rnacentral:lncRNA from 10 species
CUGCCUUGGUCAGGUUUCUUGUUUACAAAGUUGCUUUUUUCUCUGUUUCCGUGCUGUGCUCCCUGGAAGGAAGUCUCCAUGUGCAGCCCACACUGAGGAAGCCUGGGGCAACAGCAAGACGGCAGCAGCCAUGGCGAGGCAGAAGAGUCAACGCCAGCCCAGGAAGCAUCAGGAAGUCCACAUCAGGGGAGUGAGAUGGACAGAGAUCAAGGAAGGUGGAACAUUCUAGAGGCCUGAGACCCAGUUGGCUGCCCUCACACUGGACAGACAAGGAAGUUGCCCUGUAACCCUCACCAGAAGCCUGGAGAUAAUUUUAGAGGCCUGCCUGGAGUUUGAAGAACGCUCCUGGUAUUGCGGGCUGAGCUCUCAUUGGUUCUAGCACUGAGCACAGCUGUGUGCGGGUGGCUGGUGGCUCAUUGCACGGUGGAGCCAGAUGGGGUGGGGCCUUGGGUGACCCACAGCAUCAAUGCCAGAUAGCUGCUGCGUAGGUUGUCCCAGCAUCUGUCCCCAGCCCUCUGCUCCCUUGGUGCCUUUCACUAUAGAGGCUGACAGCCAAAUACUUCCCAGACUUCACUAUAGCUAGGGGUGGCAUGUGGCUCAUUUUUGACCCAUGAUAUAUUAGCAGAUAUCUUCUGGGCAUAGCUUUUAAAAAGCCUUUCUUUCCUGACAGAAAGAGAGGGACUCAGCUGGUGCAACCCUUCCCCUUUCCUCUUUCUCCUUGCUUUGAACAUGGAUCUAAUGGCAGGAGCUAAGGCAGCCAUCUUGUGACCAUGAGGAAAGAGACUGACAGCAGUUUCAGCCGGGCAUGCCUCAGCCAUUGAACAGCACCUUAGAUUUCUCACGUGAGAAAAAUAAAUUCCUGUUUGUUUAAAUCACUGAAGUAGUUUUUUG